rnacentral:rRNA from 1 species
ACGCACGCUGGCGGCGUGCUUAACACAUGCCAGUCGAACGGUGAAGCGCCUUCCUUUUUGGUGGGUGUGGAUGAGUGGCGAACGGGUGAGUAACACGUGAGUAACCUGCCCCCUUCUUCUGGAUAACCGCAUGAAAGUGUGGCUAAUACGGGAUAUUCUGGUUCUGUCGCAUGAUGGGUCUGGGAAGGAUAUUGUUUCGGUGGGGGAGGGGCUCGCGGCCUAUCAGCUUGUUGGUGGGGUGAUGGCCUACCAAGGCGGUGACGGGUAGCCGGCCUGGGAGGGUGGACGGUCACACUGGGACUGAGACACGGCCCAGACUCCUACGGGAGGCAGCAGUGGGGAAUAUUGCACAAUGUGCGCAAGCCUGAUGCAGCGACGCCGCGUGAGGGAUGGAGGCCUUCGGGUUGUGAACCUCUUUCGCCAGUGAAGCAGGCCUGCCUCGUUUGUGGGUGGGUUGACGGUAGCUGGAGAAGAAGCGCCGGCUAACUACGUG